rnacentral:rRNA from 1 species
UACGUAGGGUGCGAGCGUUAAUCGGAAUUACUGGGCGUAAAGCGUGCGCAGGCGGUGAUGUAAGACAGAUGUGAAAUUCCCGGGCUCAACCUGGGAACUGCAUUUGUGACUGCAUCGCUGGAGUGCGGCAGAGGGGGAUGGAAUUCCGCGUGUAGCAGUGAAAUGCGUAGAUAUGCGGAGGAACACCGAUGGCGAAGGCAAUCCCCUGGGCCUGCACUGACGCUCAUGCACGAAAGCGUGGGGAGCAAACAGG